rnacentral:rRNA from 1 species
UACGUAGGGUGCGAGCGUUGUCCGGAAUUAUUGGGCGUAAAGAGCUCGUAGGCGGUGUGUCACGUCGUUCGUGAAAACCUGCAGCUUAACUGUGGGCGUGCGGUCGAUACGGGCAUCACUGGAGUUCGGCAGGGGAGACUGGAAUUCCUGGUGUAGCAGUGAAAUGCGUAGAGAUCGUGAGGAAGACCAGUGGCGAAGGCGGGUCUCUGGACAGUUCCUGACACUGAGACACGAAGGCCAGGGGAGCAAACGGG